UAAAUUUCGAUACGAUAACAACUUUCUACCGUUAUCAAAUGUGCUGUCGUGUCACAAAAGAGUUUGAUUUUUCUCAUCAAGUCUCACUGUAUUGUUUUCAUAGUGAAUAUAAUCUUGGCGCUUAAAUUAUAUAUAUUUUUUUCAAAUUUAAAUAAUCUAAACAUUUCCAAACUAUGCCGUUUAACGAAACACGUCGCCAAACGUCAAUUGAUUUACAUUCAGAAAAUGAAUAUGAUCACAAAAAAAUCAUUAUGCAUUCUUUUAAAACUUUAUGGAUUAUUAAGUAACUAAAACUUUACUUAUGUUUUUAACUUUAGUUAACACUAAAUAAUAUUAAAAGUCCUUACAAAGACUAGCACGUCAAAUUGCAGAACAUAAUCAACACUUCAGUCAUGUUUAUCUAGGCUUCUGAUUUAUCGUUUCAUAGGCAAUUUGAAGUGUGUUAGUUUUUGUAAGGAGAGUUGUCAUAUUGUAAUAGUUUAUGAAAUAGCCGAGUUAUAGAAAACGUAUUAAAGUUAAAUCCAGCGAAAAAAUCAAUAAUUCAAAAUAAGGACAUUAAAAAAUUACAGUUGAGUAAUAUUUACGAACAACUUUGGAGAAUAAACAUAAUUCUUAAUAAUGAAUUAAAUCCACCUCAAAUAGCUCAAAAAAAUCAUAGGUAACUAUGAUACUUUAAAUAACUACCAUUUUAUACUACAAAAAGCAAUAAAAUUGUGAUUACAUUUUUAUAAUUAGUCUUAAUAAACAUUUUUUA